rnacentral:rRNA from 1 species
GACGAACGCUGGCGGCGUGCCUAAUACAUGCAAGUAGAACGCUAAAGGCGGAGCUUUCUUCUCCGGAUGAGUUGCGAACGGGUGAGUAACGCGUAGGUAACCUGCCUUGUAGCGGGGGAUAACUAUUGGAAACUAUAGUUAAUACCGCAUAACAGCAGAUAUUGCAUGAUAUCUGCUGGAAAGGUUCAAUUGCUUCCCUACCAGAUGGACCUGCUUUGUAUUAGCUAGUUGGUGUGGUAUCGGCCCACGCAGGCGACGCUACGUCGCCGAACUGCGAGGGGGAGCGGCCACCCUGGGACUGUGACACGGCCCAGACUCCUACGGAAGGCAGCAGUAGGGCAUCUUCGGGAAUAGACGGAAGUCUGACCGAGCAACGCCGAGUGAGUGAAGAAGGUUUUCGGAUCGUAGAGCUCGGUUGUAAGAGAAGAAAGAGUGUGAGAGUGGAAAGUUCACACUGUGACGGUAUCUUACAAGAAAGGGACGGCUAACUACGUG